rnacentral:lncRNA from 1 species
AUGGCUGAGUGGGAAGAGAGUGUUCAGGUGACCAGGGAUAUGUGUGAGAAGAUGAAGAACCAGGUGACCAGUGUGCAGGUGAAGGAGCAGGUGACAAGUGUGCAGUAUCGAAUUUGUUUAUUCGGUGAUGGACAGACAUCUGUUGUACCAAUCAGUUGGAUUUUUGAUGACCAUGGAACAUUGAAGUGUCGAUGGACAUCAUCACUCUCAAACAUUAAAAACAAUUCUCCACCAAACCCUAACUGGAAGGUUUAUGACAUUGUGAAGAUCGUUGGACCAUCAAUUGAUGAUAAGAACUUGAAGCAGUCAGGAAAUGAAGUGAAGCAAUCUGGUCUGAAGUCAAGAAAUGUCCCAUUGCUCAAACCUCCUAUAUACCAUGAUACUCUUCAGAGAAGUGGGAAAAAAGAUGAGGAUGAUCCCAAGCCCACAGGCUCUGAUGUCUCAGAAUUUCAUGAUCUUCAACAACAUCACAUGACUUAUAAAGAAAUUACAGUGCAAACCAGGAUACCAGAUGAUGUGCAUUUAAAGAAGUCAAGAAAUGCAAUGAAGCGAGUUGGUCUGAAGACAAAGAAUGUUCAGCUGGCCAAAACUCCCAGAUACCAUGGUGACUGUCUGGAUGAUAACAAUGAAAGCCCUGAUGACAGUUAUUUAAACUCAAGCCAGCCCAACCCAGUAUUCUUAGAUACUCUUCAGGGAAAUGUGGCAAUGCAUGAGGAUGAUCAUCCCAAAAGCUCUGCUUCUUCAGGGAAGGAACCAAAGGAAACAAAAUGCAAAGUCACCAUGGAGAAAUUGUUUGAUCUGAAUACUAAGAUACUCCAACAAAUUCAAAUGCUGGAACAGAGACAAGCUGUCAUCAUGAAUGACUUGGCCAAAGUUAAGUCUGUUCUCAUGAAGCGGGCAGAAGAAGAUGCCCAUGAGGAACAUUUUAAACAACAACAGUGCUCCAGCUUUGAAAUGUUUGAAGCCUUUCUGUCAGAGGCUUGA